CCUACGGGUGGCAGCAGUGGGGAAUAUUGGGCAAUGGACGCAAGUCUGACCCAGCAACGCCGCGUGAGGGAAGAAGGCUUUCGGGUUGUAAACUUCUUUUAAGGGGGAAGCGCAGAAGACGGUACCCCUUGAAUAAGCCACGGCUAACUACGUGCCAGCAGCCGCGGUAAUACGGAGGGGGCAAGCGUUGUCCGGAUUUACUGGGGGUAAAGGGCGUGCAGCCGGAGAGACAAGUCAGAUGUGAAAUCCACGGGCUCAACCCGGGAACUGCAGUUGAAACUGUUUCUCUUGAGUGUGGGAGAGGUAUGCGGAAUUCCUGGUGUAGCGGUGAAAUGCGUAGAUAUAAGGAAGAACACCAGUUGCGAAGGCGGAUUACUGGACGAUAACUGACGGUGAGGCGCGAAAGCGUGGGGAGCAAACAGGAUUAGAUACCCGAGUAGUC
rnacentral:rRNA from 1 species